rfam:TPA: Bos taurus chromosome X, whole genome shotgun sequence.
UCCCUGGUGGUCCAGUGGUUAAGACUCUGAGCUUCUACUGCAGGAGGCUCAGGUUCGAUCCCUGGUUAGGGAA